AAACGCUGAAACUAGCAUAUCAAUAAGCGGACAACAGGGAUUUACCUCAGUAACGGCGAAGUGAAGCGGUAAAAGCUCAAAUUUGAAAUCUGGCUCUUUUAGAGUCCGAAUUGUAAUUUGUAGAAGAUGCUUCGGGUGUGGUUCCGGUCUAAGUUCCUUGGAACAGGACGUCAUAGAGGGUGAGAAUCCCGUAUGUGACUGGAUACCUAUGCUCAUGUGAAGCUCUUUCGACGAGUCGAGUUGUUUGGGAAUGCAGCUCAAAAUGGGAGGUAUAUUUCUUCUAAAGCUAAAUAUUGGCCAGAGACCGAUAGCGCACAAGUAGAGUGAUCGAAAGAUGAAAAGCACUUUGGAAAGAGAGUUAAACAGUACGUGAAAUUGUUGAAAGGGAAGCGCUUGCAAUCAGACUUGCACUUGGUGUUCAUCAGGGUCUCGUACCCUGUGUACUUCAUCAAGUUCAGGCCAGCAUCAGUUUGAGUGGUUAGAUAAAGGCUUAGAGAAUGUGGCCCUCUUCGGGGGGUGUUAUAGCUCUAGGUGCAAUGUAGCCUACUUGGACUGAGGACCGCGCUUCGGCUAGGAUGCUGGCGUAAUGGUUGUAAGCGACCCGUCUUGAAACACGGACCAAGGAGUGUACCUAAUAUGCGAGUGUUUGGGUGUUAAACCCAUACGCGUAAUGAAAGUGAACGCUGGUGAGAACCCUUAAGGGUGCAUCAUCGACCGAUCUUGAUGUCUUCGGAUGGAUUUGAGUAAGAGCAUAUUGGGUGCGACCCGAAAGAUGGUGAUCUAUACGUGAAUAGGGUGAAGCCAGAGGAAACUCUGGUGGAGGCUCGCAGCGGUUCUGACGUGCAAAUCGAUCGUCAAAUUUGCGUAUAGGGGCGAAAGACUAAUCGAAACAUCUAGUAGCUGGUUCCUGCCGAAGUUUCC
rnacentral:rRNA from 1 species